rnacentral:rRNA from 1 species
UUUUUUUUUUUUUUUUUUUUUUCUCUUCAGACGAACGCUGGCGGCGUGCCUAAUACAUGCAAGUCGAGCGGACAGAAGGGAGCUUGCUCCCGGAUGUUAGCGGCGGACGGGUGAGUAACACGUGGGUAACCUGCCUGUAAGACUGGGAUAACUCCGGGAAACCGGAGCUAAUACCGGAUAGUUCCUUGAACCGCAUGGUUCAAGGAUGAAAGACGGUUUCGGCUGUCACUUACAGAUGGACCCGCGGCGCAUUAGCUAGUUGGUGGGGUAAUGGCUCACCAAGGCGACGAUGCGUAGCCGACCUGAGAGGGUGAUCGGCCACACUGGGACUGAGACACGGCCCAGACUCCUACGGGAGGCAGCAGUAGGGAAUCUUCCGCAAUGGACGAAAGUCUGACGGAGCAACGCCGCGUGAGUGAUGAAGGUUUUCGGAUCGUAAAGCUCUGUUGUUAGGGAAGAACAAGUGCGAGAGUAACUGCUCGCACCUUGACGGUACCUAACCAGAAAGCCACGGCUAACUACGUGCCAGCAGCCGCGGUAAUACGUAGGUGGCAAGCGUUGUCCGGAAUUAUUGGGCGUAAAGGGCUCGCAGGCGGUUUCUUAAGUCUGAUGUGAAAGCCCCCGGCUCAACCGGGGAGGGUCAUUGGAAACUGGGAAACUUGAGUGCAGAAGAGGAGAGUGGAAUUCCACGUGUAGCGGUGAAAUGCGUAGAGAUGUGGAGGAACACCAGUGGCGAAGGCGACUCUCUGGUCUGUAACUGACGCUGAGGAGCGAAAGCGUGGGGAGCGAACAGGAUUAGAUACCCUGGUAGUCCACGCCGUAAACGAUGAGUGCUAAGUGUUAGGGGGUUUCCGCCCCUUAGUGCUGCAGCUAACGCAUUAAGCACUCCGCCUGGGGAGUACGGUCGCAAGACUGAAACUCAAAGGAAUUGACGGGGGCCCGCACAAGCGGUGGAGCAUGUGGUUUAAUUCGAAGCAACGCGAAGAACCUUACCAGGUCUUGACAUCCUCUGACAACCCUAGAGAUAGGGCUUUCCCUUCGGGGACAGAGUGACAGGUGGUGCAUGGUUGUCGUCAGCUCGUGUCGUGAGAUGUUGGGUUAAGUCCCGCAACGAGCGCAACCCUUGAUCUUAGUUGCCAGCAUUCAGUUGGGCACUCUAAGGUGACUGCCGGUGACAAACCGGAGGAAGGUGGGGAUGACGUCAAAUCAUCAUGCCCCUUAUGACCUGGGCUACACACGUGCUACAAUGGACAGAACAAAGGGCUGCAAGACCGCAAGGUUUAGCCAAUCCCAUAAAUCUGUUCUCAGUUCGGAUCGCAGUCUGCAACUCGACUGCGUGAAGCUGGAAUCGCUAGUAAUCGCGGAUCAGCAUGCCGCGGUGAAUACGUUCCCGGGCCUUGUACACACCGCCCGUCACACCACGAGAGUUUGCAACACCCGAAGUCGGUGAGGUAACCUUUAUGGAGCCAGCCGCCGAAGGUGGGGCAGAUGAUUGGGGUGAAGCAAAAGGGG